rnacentral:rRNA from 1 species
UACGUAGGGUGCAAGCGUUAAUCGGAAUUACUGGGCGUAAAGCGUGCGCAGGCGGCUUUGCAAGACAGAUGUGAAAUCCCCGGGCUUAACCUGGGAACUGCAUUUGUGACUGCAUGGCUGGAGUGUGGCAGAGGGGGGAUGGAAUUCCGCGUGUAGCAGUGAAAUGCGUAGAUAUGCGGAGGAACACCGAUGGCGAAGGCAAUCCCCUGGGCCUGCACUGACGCUCAUGCACGAAAGCGUGGGGAGCAAACAGG